ACUCCUACGGGAGGCAGCAGUGGGGAAUAUUGCACAAUGGGCGCAAGCCUGAUGCAGCCAUGCCGCGUGUAUGAAGAAGGCCUUCGGGUUGUAAAGUACUUUCAGCAGUGAGGAAGGUGGAUAUGUUAAUAGCAUAUUCAUUUGACGUUAGCUGCAGAAGAAGCACCGGCUAACUCCGUGCCAGCAGCCGCGGUAAUACGGAGGGUGCGAGCGUUAAUCGGAAUUACUGGCGUAAAGCGCAUGCAGGUGGUUUGUUAAGUCAGAUGUGAAAGCCCGGGGCUCAACCUCGGAAUUGCAUUUGAAACUGGCAAACUAGAGUACUGUANAGGGGGUAGAAUUUCAGGUGUAGCGGUGAAAUGCGUAGAGAUCUGAAGGAAUACCGGUGGCGAAGGCGGCCCCCUGGACAGAUACUGACACUCAGAUGCGAAAGCGUGGGGAGCAAACAGGAUUAGAUACCCUGGUA
rnacentral:rRNA from 1 species